rnacentral:rRNA from 1 species
GAUGAACGCUGGCGGCGUGCCUAAUACAUGCAAGUCGAGCGAACAGACGAUGAGCUUGCUCCUCUGACGUUAGCGGCUGACGGGUGAGUAACACGUGGAUAACCUACCUAUAAGACUGGGAUAACUUCGGGAAACCGGAGCUAAUACCGGAUAAUAUAUUGAACCGCAUGGUUCAAUAGUUAAAGACGCUUUUGCUGUCACUUAUAGAUGGAUCCGCGCCGCAUUAGCUAGUUGGUAAGGUAACGGCUUACCAAGGCAACGAUGCGUAGCCGACCUGAGAGGGUGAUCGGCCACACUGGAACUGAGACACGGUCCAGACUCCUACGGGAGGCAGCAGUAGGGAAUCUUCCGCAAUGGGCGAAAGCCUGACGGAGCAACGCCGCGUGAGUGAUGAAGGUCUUCGGAUCGUAAAACUCUGUUAUUAGGGAAGAACAAAUGUGUAAGUAACUAUGCACGUCUUGACGGUACCUAAUCAGAAAGCCACGGCUAACUACGUG